UUCCUUUCACUUCAAAGGUUUCACCUUCCCAGAGGGGCACGGAGGUGGCAGGGGACAGGGCGAGAGCUAAUCCAGCCUUCCAGUGAAGGCCACACUCGGCACCCCACCCCCACUGCUCACCACCACCCAGGAAAAACAUCUCUGUGGAGCAGCACAAUGGAGGAAGAGGAGGAGGAUGUUGGAGGCCCCACGCUCUCAGUUCCCCUUGCACGCCAUAGCCCAUGGGACGACUCCGGAGGGUCCCUCAGUGAGGAAGCCAUCCCCUGUCCCCCUGUCCCUGCACCUACUGUGCUUCACGCACAGGAUGUCCACUUCUGUUUCCACAACUUUAGUUGGCCGGAAAGUUUUUAAUAUUAAAUGAAGAAGCACGCACGA